CGGCCGCCUGCAGGGCUCUGCAAGCCGCGGGGCCAGCGCGACCAGAUGGAGCCUGGGAGAGACCUGGCCUCCCAGCUCUGCUGGCGUGCUUUUCCUGGGGUCCUUGGAGCCGGGGGAAGGACCCAGAUGCCAGCCCCCCAGCUGAGGGUGACUGCCAGGACCCCGAGGAGGAGCUGGCACUGACAGCCGUGUAUCCCAACGGAGACUGUGAGGAGACUGGAAAGGGGUCAGGAGCCUGGGAUGGAGUUGCCCCCGCUCCCGCUGAGCCCGCUGGAGACUUGAGAUGAAAGGUGGACCCCUGGCUGCCCGAGCUCUAACCUGCAGACCGGAGGCUGGCUCCUUUCACUGAGCUGCCCAGCCUCCACGUUGACCUUGGGAUGGUGGUAGCUACGAAGGCGCCGCCUGCCGGGAGGCUGUUGCAUUGACAACCAGGCAGAUACCAGCCAGGCCGCAGGACUUACUAAGCUAAGCUGGACCUUGGAAAAUGUACCCUGGGGAACCUGCCCCCCACCUCGUUUUUGCUCACUCUCUGGUCACAGUGGGGUUAUUUUUUUCUCUGUGUGCCUCGAUUUCUCUAUGCCACUGAGACUUGGAAGUUCUGCUGUGCUGUGGCAUCCUGGGGUUGUUUGCAGGAACAUCCAUCAUUUCAAGGGCAGCUGGGCCAGAAGUCAUCAGAUCUGAGAAGGUAGCCGUGGACUUGUCACCUGUCACUCAGCCUUUGGGGCUUCUGUUUCUCAAAGGCGUAAAAGCACUGUCAGCCAAGUGGCUCUCAACUAGGGGCCAGGCUGCCCAUCCUAGCAGCACUGGAAGUGUGUGUGUGUGUGUGUGUGUGUGUGUGUGUGUGUGUGUGGAGAGUCACUGCAACUGUGGGCUACCCCUGGCAUUUCGUGGGCAUCUCACAACGUGCAGGACAGUUCCAGCAGCAUAGAAUUGUUCCACUCAAAAUGCCAAUCGUGGCAACUUUGAGAAACCCUGAAUGAGACAAUCUCCUCCCCAUUAAAAUCUAGGAAGAGUCCCCAGAGCAGAGAGUGUUGGCCUUUCUGGGGCCGUGGCUCCCAGAGCAAGCCAAGACAAAGACACACUGCCACCCCGGGGGCCUGUUGGGCCAGAGCCAAGAUGGUCCACAUGCUGCAGGCCCAGGACAUAACUAGCUUUGCACAUCUAUGAGAAAAAAGGGCCAUCUUUCUUUUUCUUGUUGACAUUGACUUUCUGUGCCAAGUUCUUUGAGAAUAAAGAUGCUAAGAACUGGAGUUCUUGUCAUGGCCCAAUAGAAACGAAACCGACUGGUACCCAUGAGGUUUCAGGUUCGAUCCCUGGCCUCGUGAACUGUGGGGUAGGUCACAGACGCAGCUCAAAACCUGCGUUGCUGUAGCUCGGAGC
rnacentral:lncRNA from 1 species